CCUAGGUGGACCUGGCACCCAGAACACUUCAUUGAGCCAAAGUGGUCUGGGUGCCUAUAGUAGUCCUUUAAUGUGGUUGUUCUGAAGUCUAUAUCCUGUCCCUGAACUCUUUUAAAUGUAAACACUGACUUUUCAGACAAAAGGCAGUGUUUACAUUGCUAGCCAACCACCACUGUCCUCCAAUAAGAAGGGAGGAUAAUGAGGUGGAAAAACCUUACAUGGUCAUAUAAAGACACAAGAGAAACGAUAGAUUUACAUAGAUAAGGAUUUAAAGAGACAAUAAAUGAAGACAUACAUUUUAUUGAAGGACCAAUCAACCAUAUGACCGGAGAGGAGGAUCCAUGAGGGGUUUAAAAAGACAUUAUCUGAAACCAAACUACAGCUGACUGAGGAAGCUCAAGG